AGAGGUGCCCUUUGCUGGAGUAUCCUCCAAACACUUUCUCUCCUUGAGGGACCCAUGGGGAGUGGCUGAGCUAGAGUUGGAUGCCCAGUGGACAAUUCAGGGAUUUAACACCUGAAUCAAAUUGAUUUGCACCAGAGACAAGUGAGGAGUCCAUGACAGAGGCCAGGUGUCAUCAUCUCCUCCAUUAUUUGAAAUAUUUAACAAAGACAACUAUAUAGAGAAUUCUGGAGGCUGAAGAACCUGAACAGUGCCACCCUCCCACCAGGACAACAGGAUGCGGAGGAAGGGACCUCACGUGGACAAGCAGAAUGCAGAGUGGAAAUGAAGACUUCAGAGGUGAUAGAAACUAAAAAGAAUGACUUCUACCCUAGGUGUUUAAAACAGUCUCAAGAGAACGAGGGGAGAAACAGGCAGACCACUUUGAAGGCCACGAAAAUCCUCCAGGGUUGUACUCAGAAUCACGUGGUACAGCGUCCACUCUCUCCCUCAGGAAGAUGGGUGAAGGACUUGCCUACAGACUCGGCCAGUCUCCUACCAGCUGCACCUCUACCCCCACAUGCAGGAGAAAGCUAAGACCCAAUACUAAGCCCUAACUCCUAUAUAUAAAAUUGCCUGAGUUAUGUUCCAUUUCUUACUAAUUUUUUAAAGAAAGUGACAGAAAGCAUACAUCUGCAGCUUUCAAGGCAAAGACAAAAGAAGAUUUACAUUCCUGCUUGAUACCAUAGGGUGUAAUAAAAUCCAAGAAUAUUUCAGACUUCUGUUGUUGGUAUUUACAGAAAUUUUAUAUUUCUCAGUUUUGUGGUCUGUCAUAUAGAAACAGAACAAAGUAAAGAGUAAGAUUUCUGCUGGAGGAAUGAAAAUACAGCAGAAAUUGUUUCUUCUGUAUGGUAAAUGUUAUCUGUGUAAUUAAAACUUCUUUCAUGUAAAUUAUGAAGACAAAAGAUCAGUUAUUUUGCCAUGGGGGAUUCAGAAUGAAUCUAUCCUUCUACACCCAAAAUUAUUAACCCUUCCACUUAGCAUACUACCUGACCCUAAUACAGAAUUAUCUAGAAAUUUUGCAAUUCUGUAGGUUGUGUUUUUUAAAGAUUCUGAAACCUCAGUUCUCUAUCUUGAGAUGGUUUUAAUGAGCCCUUUAAUUAGAAGCAGGAAAAUGAUCUUAAUAUUAGACUCUAAAAUAAUUAUUAAAUUCCCUUCCAAUGUGUAAAUUGUAUGGCUUUCUGCUUUGUUUUAAAAUAAAAUGUAGCUGAUUAUCACAGCUAAAUUUUAUUAGAA